rnacentral:rRNA from 1 species
ACACAUGCAGUCGAGCGGCACACACAGGAGAGCUCUGUCGUCCCCUGUAUGUUGGCGGCUGACGGGUGAGUGACAGAAUGGGUAACCUGCCUGUAUGACUGGGAGGAUUCCGGGAAAAAGGAUCUAAUACCGGAUAAUUCCAUGAACCGCUGGGUUCAGGGAAGAAACACGGUUUGCGCUGUCACUUACAGAUGGACCCGCGGCGCAAUAGCUAGUUGGUGAGGUAACGGCUCGCCACGGCCACUAUGCGUAGCCAACCUGAGAGGGUGAUCGGCCACACUGGGACUGAGACACGACCCAUACUCCAAGCGGAGGCGGCAAUAAGGAAUCUUCGGCAAUGGACCAAAGUCUGACGGACCAACGCCGCGUGAAUGGUGAAGGUUUUCGGAUCCUAUAGCUCUGUUGUUAAGGAAGAACAAGUGCAAAAGUAACUGCUUGCACCUUGACCGUACCUAACCCAAAAGCCACGGCUAACUACGUGCCAGCAGCCGCGGUAAUACGUAGGUGGCAACCGUUGUCCAGAGUUAUUGGGCGUAAAGGGCU